GUGAACUAGUAGGCUCCUAGUUAGGUGCCUAGACCGGGUAGUGAACUAGUAGGCUCCUAGUGAGGAGCCUAGGCCUAGUAGUGAACUAGUAGGCUCCUAGUUAGGAGCCUAGGCCGGGUAGUGAACUAGUAGGCUCCUAGUGAGGAGCCUAGGCCUAGUAGUGAACUAGUAGGCUCCUAGUGAGGAGCCUAGGCCUAGUAGUGAACUAGUAGGCUCCUAGUGAGGAGCCUAGGCCUAGUAGUGAACUAGUAGGCUCCUAGUGAGGAGCCUAGGCCUAGUAGUGAACUAGUAGGCUCCUAGUGAGGAGCCUAGGCCUAGUAGUGAAGGCUCCUCUCUGGCAGCAGAGGGAGGCCUGAGGAGGACCCGGCCUCCUCAGGCCUCCCUCCCUUCAGCACAAAGGAGUCUGUGUCUCCUUAGGAGCUGGGAGCCUUAACACCCACAUUAGGCUGCUUAAUGUCCCCCACCACACCCUGUGUGUGUGCGUGUGUGUGCGUGUCCACACACACUAAAUCCUCCUCGUGUUGACAGCGCCAUAAAGCCUUAUCUGCUGGCCUUUGGCCCCAGAGGCCCUCGUAAACCCAGAGCAGGAAACGGGUCAAAGUCAGGGCUGCAUCGACACUUAUCUCAGGCUCAAAGUGCACCUUAUUUAUGCUUUUAUUGAGUUUUGAUUUCUCUUAUCCACCCCCUCUCUCUCUCUCUCUCUCUCUCUCUCUCUCUCUCUCUCUCUCUCUCUCUCUCUCUCUUCAUUCAUUCCAG
ensembl:lncRNA